rnacentral:tRNA from 1 species
GCCAGUGUGGCAUAGUGGUAAGAGUGUUGGGCUACGACUCUGGAGACCAGAGUUCAAUUCCCAGCUUGGCCA